AUUGGUGACGAUAGCGAAGUGGAUACACCUGUUCCCAUCCCGAACACAGAAGUUAAGCACUUCAGCGCCGACGAUAGUGUAAGCGAAAAUAGGUCGUUGCCAAUU
rnacentral:rRNA from 1 species